CUAGCCAUGCCGCGUGUGUGAUGAAGGCCUUAGGGUCGUAAAGCACUUUCGCCAGAGAUGAUAAUGACAGUAUCUGGUAAAGAAACCCCGGCUAACUCCGUGCCAGCAGCCGCGGUAAUACGGAGGGGGUUAGCGUUGUUCGGAAUUACUGGGCGUAAAGCGUACGUAGGCGGAUCAGAAAGUAGGGGGUGAAAUCCCAGGGCUCAACCCUGGAACUGCCUCCUAAACUCCUGGUCUUGAGUUCGAGAGAGGUGAGUGGAAUUCCAAGUGUAGAGGUGAAAUUCGUAGAUAUUUGGAGGAACACCAGUGGCGAAGGCGGCUCACUGGCUCGAUACUGACGCUGAGGUACGAAAGUGUGGGGAGCAAACAGGAUUAGAUACCCUGGUAG
rnacentral:rRNA from 1 species